GAUGAACGCUGGCGGCGUGCCUAAUACAUGCAAGUCGAGCGAACAGACCAGGAGCUUGCUCCUCCGACUUUAUCGGCGGACGGGACAGUAACACGUGGACAACCUAACUAUCAGACUGGGAUAACUUCGGGAAACCGGAGCUAAUACCGGAUAAUAUAUUGAACCGCAAUGUUCAAUAGUUAAAGUCGGUUUUUCUGUCACUUAUAGAUUGAUCAGCGACGCAUUAACUAGUUGGUAAGGUAACGGCUUACCAAGGCAGGGAUGCGUAGCCGACCCGAGAGGGACAUAGGCCAGACGGGAUGUGAGACACGUUCCAGACUCUUGGGGGAGGCAACAGUAGGGAAUCUUCCGGGAUGGGCGAGAGGGUGACGGAGGAACGCCGGGUGAGUGCUGAAGCUCUUCUGAUCGUAGAACUCUGUAAUUCGUGAGGAUCAAAUGUGUAAGUAACUGGGAUCAUAUUGACAGUACCGGGUGAGAAAGCCACGGCUAACUACGUG
rnacentral:rRNA from 1 species